AAUAAAAUGCCUGACAAAAGGAUUAUCUUGAUAGGAUAAAUUAUAUGGACUGCCAUUUUUAUUU
rnacentral:tRNA from 1 species